UGAUCAUGAAGUUGUAGCAGGAGUUCUGGAACGGCACCCAUGGCGUGUUCUGCACAGGAGGCGGACACUUAAUGCUGCUGAACGGUUUGACCUCCUUUUCCGUCUCAUCUAGGAAGAAGGGUUAGCGAUCAUCAGAACUGUGAGUUGGAGGCCAGAAAGCUAACGCGGAGUGCGGAGUCCGUGCAUGGGGAACAAUGGCGGCAACAUGGCAUACUAGGAAGACAGAAAGCUGGCUGUGCGCAGCAGUGCAAUCACAUCUGAGCUUCUGAUGUAUACCAAAGGAUUGUAUCAAGUGGCAGGCUGUGGGUAUUAGCUCCUUUGACAGUCCUUGCUGUCCGUUCCAGGUUCCACGCCUCUCUCUGACUUGUUCCCGGUCCCCUGCUCCUUCCCGAUACUCACUACAGUGUCCUGAGCCUUGCUUCACCCUUCUGUCCCAACCGCUGGCUUUUGGAUGUCUCCAAUACUUAAAUGACACACUGCUGUCACCUGCUCUGGAUUUCAUAUAACCCAGAGCUGCUGUGCCUGAGAUACGGUGAACAUGCUCUACUUCAUGUCAACGUUAUUUUCUUUAAAGACGUAAAUAAAAACGACUGUCCCCACAGCUCAGGCUCCCUGCUGCUCCCGUUCUCGCUAUACUUUCCUAGGUAGUGUCAUGUUAUUAGAAUAAACAGUUUCACAUCA